UACGAAGGGGGCUAGCGUUGCUCGGAAUCACUGGGCGUAAAGGGUGCGUAGGCGGGUCUUUAAGUCAGGGGUGAAAUCCUGGAGCUCAACUCCAGAACUGCCUUUGAUACUGAAGAUCUUGAGUUCGGGAGAGGGAUGUGGAAUUCCAGGUGUAGCGGUGAAAUGCGUUGAUAUCGGAAGGAACGCCGGUGGCGAAAGCGACGGACUGGAUCUCUUCUGACGCUGAGGCGCGAAAGCCAGGGAGCAACGGG
rnacentral:rRNA from 1 species